rnacentral:lncRNA from 1 species
GCGGAUAGCACCUGAAGAUCAUUGGUGCCCGUGGCAGACAGUUUUCAGUUACCAAUAAAAGUUUAAUGUAAUUAUUUUCAGUUAUCGCUGAACUCCACAGAGAGUGGUUGCAUGUUGCAUGAGCAGUGAUAAAAAGGAGAAUAGGUCUCCAAGAAAAUGUACGCUGUUUUUAGCACAUCUUACUAAACUGUUACUUUUCGGUGAAUUCUAGCUGACUUGAUCGUCGGAGUGUCAUCAACAGGUAGGGCGUCAUCUGUCCCAACAGAAUCAUACUAGAAAUAGUUAAGAGAGACGUUGAAAAAGCUGCAUUCAUCCUAGGUCAACUAUGGCAAGAACAAUUCUAAUAUUUAUUUUAGGGAUCAUAUUUUUUUUAAAUACUACAUUGUGUCACUAUAUCAAAUAACAUUGGUGUGUAGACAUUAGUGGGUGAUCAUUUAAAUCAAAAACAGUUAACAGUUAGGGUCAUAUAGUCCGCUUCACUCACUUCACUUUUACUUCCUUCUCCCUUUCCUUCUUCUAUAUAAACCCCACACCCUGCAACCUUCUCACUCACCAACUCAACCAACAACUCAAUCAAGUCCUCCCAAACCCUAAACCAAAUCCCAUUUCUUCAAUUCGCCAUCCCUUGAGUUGUUUCCAUGGCCACCCUCAACUCUGCGUGCGUCGUUGCCGUGCUGUGCUUGGUGGUGCUGACGGCACCCACUGCACAUGCCGCCAUCUCCUGCGGCCAGGUCACAAGUUCCCUGGCUUCAUGCAUCCCUUUCCUCACGAAAGGUGGGCCGGUGCCAGCGUCAUGCUGCUCCGGAGUGAGGUCCCUCAACGCCGCCGCAAAGACCACCCCAGACCGCCAGGCGGUCUGCAACUGCCUGAAAUCCGCCGCCGGUGCCAUCCCUGGAUUCAAUGCUAACAACGCAGGCAUACUCCCGGGCAAGUGUGGCGUCAGCAUCCCCUACAAGAUCAGUACCUCCACCAACUGCGCUACGUAAGAGAAAAACAAAAUUUAUCGUUCAAACUUUUUUAUAUAGUUUUCUAAAUUUUUAUUCUAUACAUAAAUUAAAAUUAGUUUAUAAAUAAAUUAUUAUAUUUUUUUAGUAUUUUUAUUUUUCAAACAUAAACCUGAUACACUUAGUUGAAUCUUAUCUAUUUUUUUAGUAAACUGAAAAAGAAUAAACUUAUUGUGAAGUAAAAAGUAGUUGAUAGAUAAAAGUACGUUGAUCUCAAAUAAUUUUCAAACAGAUUAAGAGAAAAUAAAUUUAGUUCUGGUUUUAAUUUUUAAGUAACUGUCACUAGAACAAUUAUUAAAUUAUUAUUGCAUAAAAAUUGUAAAAAUGUUUUGUAACAUUUUUUUUUUCAUUUUCAAUGAUUUAAAGGUUAUUUAAAGAUAAAAUGUAACAAAACUAAACAAAAUCAGACCAAAAUUAAAUUUCUAACCGGUUUUGAUAUGAAAGGGGAGUUUGAAAGAAAACUAUAAAAUAUGUGAUAUGAAAAGAAAUAGAAAAAUAUGGAAGAAGACAGAUGCAAUAAAUGAGAAAGUAGAUGUAUCAUUAUAUAGUUAUCCAUAAAAAGAAAUUCUAAAUUCAAUUAUAAAUUUUCUUUUAUAAAUUUGAAUCUGCGAUGGAAAUAAGUUGUGUUUGAAGUGAGAUUAAUUCAUCAUAAUAUACUACAUUAAUGUAAUAUAAAGUUAGAUAUUUUGAUUUGAGAUUCAUUAUUAUGAUUUAUUUCUUGAUUGCACUUGCAGUAUCAAGUUUUGAAGAAGAAGGCACUGGAAAC